GAUGAAGAACGUAGCGAAAUGCGAUAAGUAGUGUGAAUUGCAGAAUUCCAGUGAGUCAUCGAAUCUUUGAACGCACAUUGCGCCCUUUGGUAUUCCGAAGGGCAUGCCUGUUCGAGCGUCAUUAUCACCCCUCAAGCCCUCGGCUUGGUGUUGGACGGUUUGGUGGAGGCCCCCUCGGGGGUUCCUGCCCCUCCCAAAGACAAUGACGGCGGCCUCGUUGGACCCCCGGUACACUGAGUUCUUCACGGGACACGUAUCGGACACAUGGGUUUACGGGACACGGUCUGCCUCCCCUCAGGGAGAAUCUUUCUAAGGUUGACCUCGGAUCAGGUAGGGAUACCCGCUGAACUUAAGCAUAUCAAUAAGCGGAGGA
rnacentral:misc_RNA from 1 species